rnacentral:lncRNA from 1 species
ACGUCGUCCUACACGACAUGCUCUACAAAUGUCACGCCCCGUGACCACCCGCCAAUUUGGCCGGGUCGCGGCACUGCCGACAGACCGCCGAACGGACAGGGUUUCCCCUGUACUGCGGACAGAGUCUCCCAUGUACGUUCAAGGCAUAGCAAUCAAUACAAUGUGCGAAGUUCCAACCAGGAACACAUUUCAAUCAAGAUUGCAUAAUGGAAGGUAUCAAACAACAUAAACACAUACUAUAUUAUUACAUUCAUUCAUAUUUAUUCAUUUUACACCUCAACUACCAUUCCUUUUUCAUCCAAAUGCAAUCUAAAUUAUUACAACAUUUAUAUCUUUAAUACAUCAUGUUACAUUGUGUUCUUUUCAUUUCUUUAACCCCUAAGCUAUGUCGACGGGGUACUGCUAGCUCUGGUGUAACAUACCAGAUUUUGGUAUAAAAAUAAAAAUAAAUAAAAAUAGUGUGAGAAGCUAUUUUUAUUGGAUUUGUAGGAGUAAAACAUAAGUCAGAAGUGACUUGUGCUGAAAUCGGAGUGAAAACAGAAGAUCUAGAAUUUUCUGUUGGAAACGGGACAGAUAAAUUAGCAGAAAAUGUACAGUCUCAGAAAAUUGUGAAAAUUGGAGGAUAAGUCAGAAAUAUUUUUAUGAGGCUAGAUUUAAAGUUUCAUAUUUUUCUGACACCCGUAGAGUGAGAAAUAAAAUCCGACAGCUAUCUGAUAAAGAUUACAGUUCGGCAUAGUUUUCGGUGACCAAAUGGGGUCGAAACUGAAAACUUAAAAUAUAUUCUUACUCAGUACGUUAAACUGAGCCUGCCUGUCAAAUUUGAGCUCAAACGGACAUUCAGAAGGACUCCAACUGUUCCAAACUGUAAAAACUGCCUGAAGUGAAUAGUGUUU